rnacentral:rRNA from 1 species
UAUGGUCGACCUGCAGGCGGCCGCGAAUUCACUAGUGAUUGUAUUACCGCGGCUGCUGGCAAUGAUCAAGCCUAAUCGAACUCCCGCGGCCGUCAAGGCCCGGGAUUAUGCAUCCGGGCCCAAUUCGCCCUAUAGACAGGAGUUUACGAAGAUCUUCGUCCUCCACGCGGCGUUGCGUCGUCAGGCUUGCGCCCAUUGUGAACAAUUCCCCACUGCUGCCUCCCGUAGGAGUCUGGGCCGUGUCUCAGUCCCAGUGUGUCCGUCCGCCCUCUCAGGCCGGAUACUGAUCGUCGCCUUGGUGGGCCGUUACCUCACCAACUAGCUAAUCAGACGCGGGCCCCUCUUCAAGUGCCGGGUCUUGCGAUCCCCAGCUUUGAUCUCCACCUGUUCAAAGGCGGGAUGUUAUGCGGUAUUAGCGUCCCUUUCGGGACGUUAUCCCCCGCUCGACUAUAGAACACUCAAGCUUUACUCACGCGUUGGGAGCUCAGUUAUAUGGCUACUAACCGGCCGCGACUUCACUAGU